rnacentral:lncRNA from 10 species
CACACAUGUUCUCAGGAUCUCCUGGGACGGCAUCAUGGGCCUUCCGUCACUCAUAUUUGGCUCAGAAUCACUCUCCAAGUAUUUUACAGGGUUUCACUCUUUUCCUCGACAACCCCCAGCGGGCAGCUACUGUUGGGGGCUCUGAGACCGCCGGCCUGCAGGGUAUGGUUCUCCCGAAGCUGCAUGUUCAGACACAAUUGGAGGCCGUGCUUCCAAGGGGGUGGAGUGAGGGCCCUCAAGAAAGGCCAACUCAGGAAUUUCCAACGUGACCCACAGCGUCUGAGCUAUUGAGGAGGGGUCACCCGAAGAAGCCGCUGGGCUUGGGUGAGAACAGAUGUUCCUCUGGCCUUCUUGCCUGGGGCUGCUCCUGAAACCACCUUUGCGAAAACCUGAUAGUGAAUCUGACCUAACCGACUCCACCUUGCUUCUAACCUCCAACCUGUCCUUGUUCAUUCCUGGGUGUAGGUCACACCAACUUUGGGAGGAUCUUAGUUUAUAGUUUAAUGUUGAAACAAAGAUGAAAACAGCCCCUUCCUGAACAAACCCCCUUCUUGCCUGGGGACCAGACUGCCUUUGUAAAACUAACAAAUUAGUCACAAGAUUAGAAAUUAUGGUUUAGGAAACUUCUAGUGGCUUGAGGUAUCGGCCGGAGCGGCCGGGUGGCGGGAGGAACCGUUACGGGAACUGAAGUUGCC